GUAAAAACAAAACGUCGGCCCGACAGAAGCUGCUGGGAGAAAACCCCCCUGCCUGUGGUCUGUGAAUCACAACGACUGAACUGGGAACAGCUGCACCUGAUGACUUGAUUGACAGCCAAGUAGUUUGACUUUGGCUUUGGUUGUCGUCGGUGUUGGGAUGUCACCGGUGUAUGUUGCUGCUGCUGCUGCAUUUUUACUGAAGUGAUGCAUUCACCUUGUGUAUGAAGAAGUGUACAGCAGGCAUCUGAUCCAACGAACAUGUUGUUCACUGGAAAAACUUGCUGCGAAAAAUCUGCCUUUUGGAACAGGCUUCCAGUACUUUAGUACAGGAAAUGAGAAGAACCACCUGGUAGGAUUUGUUUAUCAUGAAAACCAGGAUCAUGGGUACCUAUAGCGCUCUUUAUCAAAAACAUGGUUAUUAGAUCCAGCUGAAUAUCUUAACAUCUGGUACUAACUGAACUAGAGCAUUCAUCCCUCUUCAUGAGACAGAUCUCUGUUUUAAGAGAUCCUCCAAAUGAUAACCAUGCAAAGCAAAAUAAAACAACUAAUUGACUCCAUUCACAAGAGAGGGAUUUCUCAGUGUGUAAUGUUACAAAUCCUCCAAAAGAGCUAAACAUACUCUUUUAAA